AAGCAAUAAGUAAUCCACCUGGGGAGUACGGCCGCAAGGCUGAAACUCAAAGGAAUUGACGGGGGCCCGCACAAGCGGAGGAACAUGUGGUUUAAUUCGAUGAUACGCGAGGAACCUUACCUGGGCUUAAAUGUAGAGUGCAUGAGGUGGAAACACUUCUUUCCUUCGGGACUCUUUGCAAGGUGCUGCAUGGUUGUCGUCAGCUCGUGCCGUGAGGUGUCGGGUUAAGUCCCAUAACGAGCGCAACCCUUAUCGUUAGUUGCCAGCGGGUAAAGCCGGGGACUCUAGCGAAACUGCCACCGUAAGGUGAGAGGAAGGUGGGGAUGACGUCAAAUCAGCACGGCCCUUAUGUCCAGGGCUACACACGUGUUACAAUGGCCGGCACAGAGGGCAGCUACCUGGUGACAGGAUGCUAAUCUCGAAAACCGGUCUCA
rnacentral:rRNA from 1 species